rnacentral:rRNA from 1 species
UACGUAGGGUCCAAGCGUUAUCCGGAAUCACUGGGCGUAAAGCGUGCGUAGGUGGCGCGUUAAGUGAGAUGUUAAAUCGUGUGGCUCAACCAUAUCGAUGCGUCUCAUACUGGCGUGCUAGAGGACAGCAGAGGCAAGUGGAAUUUGUAGUGUAGCAGUGAAAUGCGUAGAUAUUACAAGGAACACCAAUGGCGAAGGCAGCUUGCUGGGCUACUCCUGACACUGAGGUACGAAAGCGUGGGGAGCGAACAGG